AAGCUUUUAGUUUAAUAAAAUACUAAUUUUGUAAAUUAGAGUUGAUUCUAUCAAUCAAAGC
rnacentral:tRNA from 1 species